AUGUCUGGGAAAGUACCGGACUGGCUGAGAGGCAAGGUGGAAGUCAAUCAGUAGGAUCCCGCGGCUCCUGGAGGAGAAUGACCAGCUGAUCUGCUGUAUCAUGGAGUAUCAGAACAAAGACCCGGUGAAUGAGUGCGUCCAGUACCAGCAAGUAUUACACAGAAAUCUCAUUUAUCUGGCCACCAUCACAGAUGCCAACCCAACCAGUGCUUCAAAAGCAAUGGAAUAAUCUUCCAGUUGGCUGUUGUGAGGAGUAAUUGAAUGUAAUCCAUUUCCUAUGAAAUGGAGAUAGGAUCUUUACCAACUCAACUGCUUAAAACAUGAAUGAAACCUCUGUGGCUCUUUUAAAAAUGUGAAAAUGUGAAUAAAGCUACUAAAUUAACUGUAUUCUCAAUGUAAAUAUUUAUUUUAAUAGUUAAGCAGAUUCCCUCAAUUAAAAAAAAAA